rnacentral:rRNA from 1 species
AUUGAACGCUGGCGGCAGGCUUAACACAUGCAAGUCGAGCGGGGUGAUGGUGCUUGCACUAUCACUUAGCGGCGGACGGGUGAGUAAUGCUUAGGAAUCUGCCUAUUAGUGGGGGACAACAUCUCGAAAGGGAUGCUAAUGCCGCAUACGUCCUACGGGAGAAAGCAGGGGAUCUUUAUGACCUUGCGCUAAUAGAUGAGCCUAAGUCGGAUUAGCUAGUUGGUGGGGUAAAGGACUACCAAGGCGACGAUCUGUAGCGGGUCUGAGAGGAUGAUCCGCCACACUGGGACCGAGACACGGCCCAGACUCCUACGGGAGGCAGCAGUGGGGAAUAUUGGACAAUGGGGGGAACCCUGAUCCAGCCAUGCCGCGUGUGUGAAGAAGGCCUUAUGGUUGUAAAGCACUUUAAGCGAGGAGGAGGCUACUCUAGUUAAUACCUAGGGAUAGUGGACGUUACUCGCAGAAUAAGCACCGGCUAACUCUGUGCCAGCCGCCGCCGUAA